rnacentral:lncRNA from 1 species
AAGAUAGCCUUGUAUUAAGAUGUUAUUCAUCAUACAUUCAUACCCUUCGGAAUGUUCAGAAAUAUUGCAUAAUUUUUGAGUCUUUUCUUUGAUGGCACUAUUUACACCGAGUUCAUUGGCUUCAUGCGCAUUCACAUGCGUGGCAUCCGUCUAUGGGGUUUUCUUUCUGGCGAGGUCUGCUGUCCGCCAUGUCCGGUUCCUCCCGUGGCUCCCACUCCGUCAACCCCACCG